CAAGCCUUAAUCCCAAUUACUUGGGAUCAGCUACAUGAAUGCUAUGAAAGUUUCGGUACAAAACAAACAGCUCAAUAUAUCAAACUGAAAGUUUCGGUACAUACACUGCAGUGAAAAAAUCAGAAGAAUGCAAGCUUAGUAAUGCAAAAACCUUACAAUUCACCUUGCUGAAGCACGAUACUUCAGACUGCCUUUCGAUUCACUUUGAGAUAAGGUAGCGCACCAAUCACAUUAUCAUAAUCGCUUUUGUUCACCGGAUGCAUUUUAGACAACCGGAGCUUCCUCUUGGUAUUCUUCUUCCCUAGCAAGUGCUGCUUCCCCGCACGCCGCCGCACGAUCUUCCCCGUUCCCGUCACCCGGAACCGCUUCGCCGAUGCCUUGUGGGUCUUCAUCUUGUAGCCUUUAUGGGCGAAUACGGUGAAGGUGGUAGGGUUUCUGGACGGGGAAGGGACGAUGGAGGGGGGGUUGCGGAGGAUUAGAUGGGAGGCAGAGAGGGAGGCCGAGGAGCUGAGGUUGGUCUUGAAUGAGACGGAGGGAAGAUGGGUGGUGGAGAAGCAGCGGAGGGGAGGGGCAGAGGAGAGGGGGACGGUGAGGAAGCAGAGAAACGAGGCAGCCAUUGAUGGGUUCU
rnacentral:misc_RNA from 1 species